AAUUUUCGCCUUUAAAUCAAGAGCGUUUAUGUCUAUUUUACUGUUACGUUAUUGUGUUUCGAAGCUCGAAUUCUAUCGACAAAUAAAAUCUCCUACU